rnacentral:rRNA from 1 species
AGAGUUUGAUUAUGGCUCAGGAUGAACGCUGGCGGCAUGCCUAAUACAUGCAAGUCGAACGAACUACCUCUAUGACCUUGAAAGUGCUUGCACUGGAUUGUGAUUAGAAUUUGUAGUUAGUGGCGGACGGGUGAGUAACACGUGGGUUACCUGCCACACAGAAUGGAAUAACUAUUGGAAACGAUAGCUAAUACCGUAUAUGACCUUCGGGUUGAAAGGGGCGUUUGCCUCGCUGUGUGAUGGGCCUGCGGCGCAUUAGCUAGUUGGUAAGGUAAAGGCUUACCAAGGCGACGAUGCGUAGCCGGACUGAGAGGUCGAUCGGCCACAUUGGGACUGAGACACGGCCCAAACUUCUACGGGAGGCAGCAGUAGGGAAUUUUCCGCAAUGGACGAAAGUCUGACGGAGCAAUGCCGCGUGAGUGAUGAAGGUUUUCGAAUCGUAAAGCUCUGUUGUAAGGGAAGAACAGCACUAGUAGGAAAUGACUAGUGUGUGACGGUACCUUACCAGAAAGCCACGGCUAACUACGUGCCAGCAGCCGCGGUAAU